ACGCACGCUGGCGGCGUGCUUAACACAUGCAAGUCGAACGCUGAAGCUCAGCUUUUGUUGGGUGGAUGAGUGGCGAACGGGUGAGUAACACGUGAGUAACCUGCCUCCUUCUUUGGGAUAACGCCCGGAAACGGGUGCUAAUACUGGAUAUUCACUGGUCUUCGCAUGGGGGUUGGUGGAAAGGGUUUUUCUGGUGGGGGAUGGGCUCGCGGCCUAUCAGCUUGUUGGUGGGGUGAUGGCCUACCAAGGCUUUGACGGGUAGCCGGCCUGAGAGGGUGACCGGUCACAUUGGGACUGAGAUACGGCCCAGACUCCUACGGGAGGCAGCAGUGGGGAAUAUUGCACAAUGGGCGCAAGCCUGAUGCAGCGACGCCGCGUGAGGGAUGGAGGCCUUCGGGUUGUGAACCUCUUUCGCUCAUGGUCAAGCCGCAACAAUGGUUGUGGUGAGGGUAGUGGGUAAAGAAGCGCCGGCUAACUACGUG
rnacentral:rRNA from 1 species